GAGACAAAAGGCAGUCCCACCCAACCCCACAGCUGGGUUCCAGAAAUGACCACGAUCCCAGGACCCCAUGCACCCUCUCUCUCUCUCUCUCUGUGCAGCCCUUUAUCUUUCCCUAAAACCAAAAUGAUUAUUUUCAUCAUCAUGUUUUCAUUAUAGCAUAAACCAAAAUCUCAUUCCAUUCAUAAAAGAAAGGUUUGCACUGUUGGAGAUAAGAAUAACCACACAAAAAUAUAUAUGAAGAAGAAGAUCAAAGAAGUCUCUUGCUGUCUCUUGCUUGCAAAGAGAUAUCAAGGAAUAAGGAUAGCUAGGAAUUGAGGAAGCUUUCUCUUUUGAGGGGAAUGUUAUCUGGUCCAAGGCCAAGACUCACCGGCUAAAUCGAUCGUUUUCUUUCUGUUCCUCAUCAGUUUCAAAACCGAUCAUACAUAUGAUCAUAACUCGAUUUAUAUAUAUGUGUGUCAGCGUCCUCGGACCAGGCUUCAUUCCCCUCAAUUAUUGCUUCCUUUUUGAUCAGUACAAUCAUCUUCGCCUCUUAAGAUCUCAUUCAUUCAAUCGCCUGCAUGAUCUCCCAGGAUGAAGCCAACGCUGGCAAUGUAUGAUUGCCAUAUUUGUGAUGAAUAAUGCUCAUUCCAGUGAUUCUUAAAUCUCUCUCUCUCUCUCGUUACCAAUGCUACCUACCAUACGAGAACCGUAAGUUUUUAUCAUUUGUGGAUUGCUUUUUCCGUCAGAUUAUUCUUUUGGAACUGUAAUCUCGUAAACUUUUAGAAAAACAUUAAAGACAAUACAAAUUAUGCCACUUUCAAAGUUUUAAGUAAGUUUUGGAAAAAAGUGUUUGUAAGCUAUCAUACUAUUGCUAGUCUAAUAGCUAGGAUAAAACUAUAUGGUGUGUUUAGACUUUAGACUAGAGACUUUAGAGUCAAUAUGAACUUGGGAAAUGGUGUAAAAUUGCAUUUGGAUUGGUGUCUAUUUCCUUUUCAAAAAAAAAAAAAAAAAGGAUUGGUGUCUAGAGUUUUUAGACUCUAGAGUCAAUAUGAACUUGGGAAACGGUGUAAAAUUGCAUUUAGAUUUUAGGAUUUAAAAUCAAUGGAUUUGAAAUAUAUUUAUUCACUAGUAAAAACUAUUUUACAUCAAUUUAACAACACAUGAUAGAUUUGAGUUUUAAGAAUUUUAUUCUAAUAACACUAGUAUCUGAGUAUGUGCUCACAUGCAUGCUGAAAGACUCUUAUAUUUUUUUGGGUAAAAGUUAAUAAUUUGCAUUUAUUAUAAUUUAGAAUUUUUUUUUU